rnacentral:rRNA from 1 species
ACACCCGUUCCCAUCCCGAACACGGUCGUUAAGCUCUUCAGCGCCGAUGGUAAUUGGGGGCUUCCCCCUGUGAGAGUAGGACGCCGCCAGGC